UACGAAGGGGGCUAGCGUUGCUCGGAAUCACUGGGCGUAAAGGGCGCGUAGGCGGGAUGGCAAGUCGGUCGUGAAAUCCCUCGGCUCAACUGAGGGGGGUCGGCCGAUACUGCCGUUCUUGAGGGAUGCAGAGGAGACUGGAAUUCCCGGUGUAGCGGUGAAAUGUGUAGAGAUCGGGAGGAACACCGGUGGCGAAGGCGGGUCUCUGGGCAUUUCCUGACGCUGAGGCGCGAAAGCGUGGGGAGCAAAAGGG
rnacentral:rRNA from 1 species